GGCGGCAGGCUUAACACAUGCAAGUCGAGCGCGUAGCAAUACGAGCGGCAGACGGGUGAGUAACGCGUGGGAAUCUACCCGGAACUACGGAAUAACAUGAAGAAAUUUAUGCUAAUACCGUAUACGCCCUUUUGGGGAAAGAUUUAUUGGUUUCGGAUGAGCCCGCGUUGGAUUAGCUUGUUGGUAGGGUAAUGGCCUACCAAGGCGACGAUCCAUAGCUGGUCUGAGAGGAUGAUCAGCCACACUGGGACUGAGACACGGCCCAGACUCCUACGGGAGGCAGCAGUGGGGAAUAUUGGACAAUGGGCGCAAGCCUGAUCCAGCCAUGCCGCGUGAGUGAUGAAGGCCUUAGGGUUGUAAAGCUCUUUCACCGGUGAAGAUAAUGACGGUAACCGGAGAAGAAGCCCCGGCUAACUUCGUGCCAGCAGCCGCGGUAAUACGAAGGGGGCUAGCGUUGUUCGGAUUUACUGGGCGUAAAGCGCACGCAGGCGGAUAUUUAAGUCAGAGGUGAAAUUCCGGGGCUCAACCCUGGAAUUGCCUUUGAUACUGGGUAUCUGGAAUACAGAAGAGGUAAGUGGAAUUCCGGGUGUAGAGGUGAAAUUCGUAGAUAUUCGGAGGAACACCAGUGGCGAANGCGGCUUACUGGUCUGUUACUGACNCUGANGUGCGAAAGCGUGGGGAGCAAACNGNAUUAGAUACCCNGG
rnacentral:rRNA from 1 species